rnacentral:tRNA from 1 species
GCUGAUGUGGCGCAGUUGGUAGCGCGCUUGAUCGAAAAUCAAGAGGUCACCAGUUCGACUCUGGUCGUCAGCAC